AUUCACAAUCAAUGAAUCAAAUAUCUUCUUACAACAAACAAACAAACAUCUCCUUCCACUCUCAUAAGUCAGCAACAUAAUUUUCUCUCUUCACUCUAAGUCUAAGCCAAGGAUGAAGAAAUUCUUCCAUGUGUUGUCUAGAGACAAAGCUAGUUCUUCGACUACGGAUAUUGCUCCCAACUCGACCAAUGAGGGUGUUAAAGUUGUUGAUUAUAAAUUGUUGGAAACGGAUCCAGGAAUUAGGCCUUCAAAAAAAUGUUAUAUAUUAUUUUUAGUAUAAUUGUAUUAUAGUUUCUUUAAAAAUUUUGCCACACUAAUAUGCAAUGUCUAGAUCCGCCCCUGCAUAGAUCAGGUAUUUACCAACAUUAAUUCGUAAAUGUUAUACUUUUAAAGACA